rnacentral:tRNA from 1 species
GCCGGAGUAGCUCAGUGGUAGAGCAGCACUUUCGUAAAGUGAAGGCCGCGAGUUCGAAUCUCGCCUCCGGCUCCA